UUUUACAUUUUUGUGAAAAAUUUUAUAAUAUAUCAUAAUGGAAUUAAAGGCAAUUUAAAUGGCAAAUAUCGAUGGGAAAAGCAUCAGAAAGUCCUUAAAAUGUUGUUCAGAUACCACAGGUAAGAAUAAUUGUAUAUUUGACUUGUUAUUUAAACAUAUUCAUUGCGAAAUAAUGUAGUGAUUAUGACUGUUUACUUGAGCGAAGUGUGGAAAUAUUCCAUUGAAUGUUUGAAUUUGCCGCGUUCGUUUUGCAUAUAAAACAUGCAAAUGUUGCUUUCAGGCAAGGGACGAAAGAUUAAAAUAUAAAUUCAAAUCUAUUGUUGUGAAUUCCGUACUAAUUUACGCACUAAUAUGAACAAUUUGACAAUAUUAAAUUGCCUUUGACAUUGGCACUUUGCUAGACCUUUGUCAAGACUCAAGGCUGUAUAGUGAUAUGAAAUAAGAUAUUAUACAUACGGAUGUUUUUGAAGAUCUGUUAGCAUUUUAAUACAGGUACUUGAAUAAGGAUUGGAAUUACAGGAGAAUGACAUCAUUUAAUCUGAUAUUUUCAGUGUAUAGAUAGCUGAAUAACUGAAUUGCAUCCUACUUUAUUGUUUACUCUGUCUAAUGCCAGAGGAUUUUCCUACUUGCCUUGCCGGAUAACUUGGCUACUGUAGAGAAUGUUUAGUUUUCCCGACUUACUAUACUUCACCUGGGAAACUCUGCAAUCCUAGAUAGAAUGUAUAUGCUUUUCAUUUAAAAUAAUAGCCCAAAAGUACAUACAAAUCAUUAGGUAUGUUUAUAGCUUUCCUCUAUUUCUAGCAGCUUAUUCAAGAUUGCAUAUUUUGUAAUCAUGUUUUUUAAACCUUUUGAAUGAUCCAAAUUGUGUUUGUAUUUUGUCAUUGUGCAGCAAUCAUGGGGUAACUUGAUUUCAUAUAAAUAGACUGCUUUUUUGUCCUGCCUGAGUGAGUAACUCACCUUGCCGGACAACUCGCCUACUGAUGUACCGAUAUCCAUAUUGGUGUAUCAGUCAUCUUUGAAUUUCGUGAAAUGACAUGGAAUAUCAGUAUCGGCAAAGUAUUGGUCUUUUAUUAUCAGUUAUCAGAAUAUUGGUGAAUUUCCACAUAUCGGUGCAUCACUAAUACAGUUCAAGAUUGUGUUUAUAUGAGAAAAUGCCAUCCUGCUCGCCGGGACAAUUUUGUUAUGUUGACAUUGUUUUGACAGUUGUUAAAAAUAGCUUGCAGCUCGGCAUCUUUGAACAUUCAUCCUGGCCCAGCCUGCUUGUGAGUGUAUAUGUGGAGAAAUUUUCAUCCCGAUAAGCAACAUUGUGGCAUCAGAGCCAGUCUGCUUGUGGAUCCAUAUAUUAAACACAUGAUAAUUUUUUCUAAAUAAAUAUACUUAAUGCAGUAAGAUCUCGCUUACCGGGCUGUCCCGCUAAGCGGUCCAGCCUAGCUUCCAUAAAUACAGCUGGUAAGAACCAUGAACAGCAACCGGAAGUAAACUAUACUGUCAGUAACUGUGUGAUAUGGUAUUGGACAAAUUAUUACAUUUCUUAAUAUUGCAGCUUUGGUGCAUGACUAAAGGUUAAUAGUCUACUGGGCACUUGCCACAAGAAAAUGAUAACUGAAUCCAGGACAUCUGAUCUGCCUACAGCCAUGUCUCUGCUUAAUAAAAUUUAUAUAAAACAUAUGUAGUUUAAUACUCCCUCUUUCGUCUUCUACCAAUAUGAACAGGUGAUUGGCCGAUUAUAACAUUAACCCAUUGAGUUGCAUUGCACCCUGAUACACCCUACUUUAGUAUUUUACUCUGUCUAACGCCAGACGAUUUUACUUGUCAAGAGGAGAGCGCUGGCGCUUAAUGGGUUAAACAAUAAACCCUUUGUAUUAGAUAAGAAUAUUAUAUUAUAAAUAAUAUUAAAUUAAUUAUAUUAAUGAAUUAUAUUAUAAAUGAAUUAUAUUAUAAAUAAUAAGUCAUAAAAUUAAUACUGGUCUAUCUUUUUAACAUACUAUUAGACAGAUUUUCAUAUUUUUACUGGGGUAGUGCCAGAAAUUUUAGGGGGGUGAGUCGUGAGCAGGUGACUGAAGCAACACAAAGUGUCACCAUACAUAUCCGAUAUCCUGCUGCUUUUAGUAACUAAUAUUGUUUGUUCGUAGGUUUGUUAGUCUGUCCAGUUGAAUGUUUGUUGUUUGUUUGAUUGUAUCCAAUUGGGCCCGCAGUAAUUGGCAAUAAGCUGUUGCGGUGUCCCGGCCACUCUGUGUAAUUUUAUGCCAGCAAAGUUAAUAAAUAAAUACCCCAGUAAGGUAUACUAUAUUCUAGAGGUGGAGCACUAGAGAUGUGAGGAGGAGUCUAGAGACCAGAAAACAAAGUAUCCCUGGAAAAAAUUUAAAAAAUCAUGAUUCCUAGCUUUGAAAAGAGUUUUUUGAAGUGGUCAUAUCAAUAGAUUUGGCAUGUCCGAUUGUCUGAUGAGACUUGGGAGAGUUAAUUAAAAGUUAAAUGAACCUGUAAAAGUGUAAACCUAAUAGGCCAAUACACAAUAUGCUUUUACCAGUUUUAUAAAGUCAUUGACAUUGUGUCGUUUGAAUCCGAAUACAUUUUAUGAUGCAACUCCGAUCUAAAUAAUAAUUGGGGCAUAAAGAUUAAAUCUAGGCAAGUCCAUUUUCUAAAAGAAUUAAAAACUAAAAAUAAUGUUUGUAAAAAAUCCAAAUGUUCCUUCCGAGCAAGCUAAGUAUUUGCAUGAGAAGGCACUGCAAACUCUAUUCAGGGGAGAUAAUAUAGUUUCAAAACUUUACAAUUGCUCCAAUAAACCAGUGAAUGCACUGUCUUUUUCUAUUUGAGUGUACUCCUACGUUUAUUUUAUAUCAUCAACACUCUGCAUGUUGGAGUGGACUAUUUAAUUAUUUUUUAUUAUGCCAAAUGUUGGGGGGUGGGGGGUGUUGAAAUAGUUUUUUGGAGGGGUGGUCAUUUUGUUUGGGGGAGGAGUUAUAGCUAAUAUUGGGGGGGGAGGAGGAUAGCGCACCCCCCUCCCCGCCCCACAAAAUCCGUCUAUGCUUUUUAAUCUAAAGAGUUAACUUAGGUUUCUGAGGAGUGACUCAGAUUAGCAAGCAAGUCUCCAGGUCUAUUGUUCUUGCAAUUUUGUAUAUAUAGCUAUUUCAAUUAAGGUUGUCCCCCAAGCAAAGCAGAAAAGUCGAAUACAAGCCCGAAAGGCUGCUGAAAAUCGCUAAUAAAUUCAUUUAUAUUUCUGUAUACACUACAUAUAAUACUUAGUUUUACUGUAGAGUGAUGAUUACAUUCUCAAUAUAUAAGUAAACUUUUCCUUUUACAGAUUACUAGCUGUAUAAGGAUGUAUAUAUGAUGGAUCUCCAGUGGCAUUUGCAUGAUGUGUUUGGAACAGUGUUUAAUGUGCAUUAUAAAGAAAUCUAUGGACUUUGAACAAACGGUUUGUCAGAUAAUAUUGCUUGUCAUGUGGAAAGAGUUGAAAAAUUACAGCUUCAGGUCUUCAGAAGAACUUAAAUUUGCUACAACACAUUGCUGUGCAAUCAGAACUACACCUAGUUGUAUAACAGUGGCUG